rnacentral:rRNA from 1 species
UUCUGGUUGAUCCUGCCGGAGGUUACUGCUAUCGAGGUUCGACUAAGCCAUGCGAGUCGAAUGUAGCAAUACAUGGCGUACUGCUCAGUAACACGUGGACAACCUACCCUUAGGUCGGGGAUAAACCCGGGAAACUGGGUAUAAUACCCGAUAGUCCUCGGAUGCUGGAAUGCACCGGGGUCUAAAGCUCCGGCGCCUAAGGAUGGGUCCGCGGCCUAUCAGGUAGUAGUGGGUGUAGCGUACCUACUAGCCUACGACGGGUACGGGUUGUGAGAGCAAGAGCCCGGAGGUGGAUUCUGAGACACGAAUCCAGGCCCUACGGGGUGCAGCAGGCGCGAAAACUUUACAAUGCCGGCAACGGCGAUAAGGGGACCUCGAGUGCCAGGUUACAAAUCUGGCUGUCGUGAUGCCUAAAAAGCAUUGCAUAGCAAGGGCCGGGCAAGACCGGUGCCAGCCGCCGCGGUAACACCGGCGGCUCGAGUGGUAACCGUUAUUAUUGGGUCUAAAGGGUCUGUAGUCGGCCGGAUAAGUCUCUUGGGAAAUCCAGCAGCUCAACUGUUGGGCUUUCAGGAGAUACUGUCUGGCUCGAGGCCGGGAGAGGUGAGAGGUACUCAGGGGUAGGGGGAAAUCUUGUAUUCGAAGGACCACCAU